GUUCAAGAAUGUCUAGCCGCUCCAGCUUUGCUCUCAGCCUGUGGUGGCUCCAGUUCCUGGCAGCUUAUUAAGUUCCUAGCUCGUUUCACCUCCUAGAAACAAGGAAGCUCACUUCAUACUCUUUGAACCUGGUCUGAUCUAUCUUAGGAAACAAAUGGGAUGUGUUCGUCUAAGCCUGUCUCAGCAUCACAUGAUUUGUAGCUUUUAUGCACGGAACCCUGAGAUAACUACAAAUAUGACUGCAGGAAGUAAGGGAAGGAGUGUGCCAACGAUUGGCCACAGACACCAAAGGCAGAGGAAAAGCAGUAUUCCUCCUUCCACUGUUUGGGGGAAAAGGUUGUCUGUGAUUUGCCUGGAGAGACAAGAUACAACACCAAGAUGGAAUGCUGAGGGAAUCAGGAGCAUAAGUCUCUGGAUGCCUUAAAACUUGGGGCUUCAACCUUUUGAAAGGCUGUUCUGAGACACAAUCUAGCAAGUUGGCCAACAGAAAGACCUCUUAAGAAUGAGAGAAGCCCAGUUAAUCUAGCUGUACCAACUGAGGCAAACUCCCAACUGACUGUUGAAAUCAGAAAGGAGUCAAUUCUGGAACCACUGAGAAGAAGCCCCCAAGACAUCUACAUCCUCUAUACCUCUCAGCACAGUUGAUGGACAAGUCCACAGAAAAUGAGUCGGAAGUUCAACCCCACAGCUGC